UUUUAUAAUUGGAUAUGAAGACGCGCACAUGCGUUUCUUUAAACUCGGCAUUCCACUCCAUAUGCCGAGGGUCCAAAUAUUGUGACAAGAAAAUGGAACAUCGUAGCUGGAAAAGGCAUCAGUUUCAACUCCCAUUUAGGCAUCCGAUCUCCGUCGCUGCGUACACUGAAAUGCUUUGACAAAUUAUUUUUAAGCCAAUUUACAACUUGAGAAAAAGUAUCAGGAAAACAUAUCACACCAGGGAGGCGAGGCGUGGGAUGGGAAUAGCUCUGGAUCCCCAUGGGUGAGUGGGCACAUUACUCACUCGAGGUGCCAGCCAUCCUGCCAGCCAGCCAGCCCAUGAGCAGUGAGCAGUGAGCAGCGAGCAGCGAGGACAGCCAACCAACCAACCGAUUCCACGUCAAAACCGGCAGGGAGCGAAGAACAGAGACCAGAAAUGAGCAUGGCCAAGAGAAAUGCAUUUCCACAACGUCUCUCGACAAAAUGUCGGCAUCGUCCACGGCGGAAACCAUUAAUUUUGUCACUUUCGGAAGUGCAAAGUGGAGAAGGUGCACAUGGCAAUCGCAAUCGCUGGGCUGGGGCUGGGAGCUGGGCCAGUGACCAUCCGACAGCAAAACAACUUUCAGCAAUAUUGAGAAUCAUGAAAAGGCAAUUAAAUCCGGCACCUGCUCCAGCUCGCCUGCCAGACAGACACGGAGAGAUUCUCACUGGCGAGGGAGGACCAGCCAUAUGUGUACAUCUUCCCCCCUGACUUCCAAACAAGUUAAUUGCUGGCCAGGCACUGACCGCAAUCACCGCAGGGACAGCGAGAGCUCCCAAGCAUGGGGGUCGCAUGACACUUGAGAACGUUGAGGGGGCCACAGGUCUGCUGACCGCAGAAACCGCACCGCAUACGAAGUAGGGCCGUGUUUAUAGUCAAAUGUUGACUUAAUAAUUACAAAUGUAUAAUUUAAUAGUCAGAAAGUAUGAGCAAAACCGAGGGGAAGCCACGGAACCGACAGCCGAGUAAAGAGUAUAAAAUGAUGCAUAUAA